CCUACGGGUGGCUGCAGUGGGGAAUAUUGCACAAUGGGCGCAAGCCUGAUGCAGCCAUGCCGCGUGUAUGAAGAAGGCCUUCUGGUUGUAAAGUACUUUCAGUCGGGAGGAAGGUGAUAAGGUUAAUAACCUUAUCAAUUGACGUUACCGACAGAAGAAGCACCGGCUAACUCCGUGCCAGCAGCCGCGGUGAUACGGAGGGGGCAAGCGUUAAUCGGAAUUACUGGGCGUAAAGCGCACGCAGGCGGGUGAUUGAGGCAGAUGUGAAAUCGCCGGGCAUAACCCGGGAAUUGCAUCUGAUACUGGGCAGCUAGAGUGGGGUAGAGGUGGGCAGAAUGCGAGGUGUAGCGGUGAAAUGCGUAGAGAUGUCGAAGAAUACCGAUUGCGAAGGCGGCCCCCUGGACAAAGACUGACGCUCAGGUGCGAAAGCGUGGGGAGCGAACAGGAUUAGAUACCCUGGUAGUC
rnacentral:rRNA from 1 species